rnacentral:rRNA from 1 species
AUUGAACGCUGGCGGCAGGCUUAACACAUGCAAGUCGAGCGGGGUGAUGGUGCUUGCACUAUCACUUAGCGGCGGACGGGUGAGUAAUGCUUAGGAAUCUGCCUAUUAGUAGGGGACAACAUCUCGAAAGGGAUGCUAAUACCGCAUACGUCCUACGGGAGAAAGCAGGGGAUCACUUGUGACCUUGCGCUAAUAGAUGAGCCUAAGUCGGAUUAGCUAGUUGGUGGGGUAAAGGCCUACCAAGGCGACGAUCUGUAGCGGGUCUGAGAGGAUGACCCGCCACACUGGGCACGAGACACGGCCCCGACUCCUACGGGGGGCAGCAGUGGGGAAUAUUGGACAAUGGGGGGAACCCUGAUCCAGCCAUGCCGCGUGUGUGAAGAAGGCCUUAUGGUUGUAAAGCACUUUAAGCGAGGAGGAGGCUCUUUUGGUUAAUACCCAAGAUGAGUGGACGUUACUCGCAGAAUAAGCACCGGCUAACUCUGUGCCAGCCGCCGCGGUAA